rnacentral:rRNA from 1 species
CAACCUGCCGACAACACUGGGAUAGCCUUUCGAAAGAAAGAUUAAUACCGGAUGGCAUAGUUUUCCCGCAUGGGAUAAUUAUUAAAGAAUUUCGGUUGUCGAUGGGGAUGCGUUCCAUUAGGCAGUUGGCGGGGUAACGGCCCACCAAACCUACGAUGGAUAGGGGUUCUGANAGGAAGGUCCCCCACAUUGGAACUGANACACGGUCCAAACUCCUACGGGAGGCAGCAGUGAGGAAUAUUGGUCAAUGGACGAGAGUCUGAACCANCCAAGUAGCGUGAAGGAUGACUGCCCUAUGGGUUGUAAACUUCUUUUAUACGGGAAUAAAGUGAGCCACGUGUGGCUUUUUGUAUGUACCGUAUGAAUAAGGAUCGGCUAACUCCGUGCCAGCAGCCGCGGUAAUACGGAGGAUCCGAGCGUUAUCCGGAUUUAUUGGGUUUAAAGGGAGCGUANGCGGGUUGUUAAGUCAGUUGUGAAAGUUUGCGGCUCAACCGUAAAAUUGCAGUUGAUACUGGCGACCUUGAGUGCAGCAGAGGUAGGCGGAAUUCGUGGUGUAGCGGUGAAAUGCUUANAUAUCACGAAGAACUCCGAUUG